rnacentral:rRNA from 1 species
UACGUAGGGGGCUAGCGUUGUCCGGAUUUAUUGGGCGUAAAGAGCGUGUAGGCGGCCAGGUAGGUCUGCUGUGAAAACUCGAGGCUCAACCUCGAGACGUCGGCGGAAACCAUCUGGCUAGAGUCCGGAAGAGGAGAGUGGAAUUCCCAGUGUAGCGGUGAAAUGCGCAGAUAUCAGGAAGAACACCCGUGGCGAAGGCGGCUCUCUGGGACGGUACUGACGCUGAGACGCGAAAGCGUGGGGAGCGAACAGG